rnacentral:rRNA from 1 species
UACGUAGGGGGCAAGCGUUGUCCGGAAUCAUUGGGCGUAAAGAGCGUGUAGGCGGCCCGGUAAGUCCGCUGUGAAAGUCCAGGGCUCAACCCAGGAAGUGCACUCGAAACUGCCGGGCUAGAGUAUCGGAGAGGUUGGUGGAAUUCUCGGUGUAGAGGUGAAAUUCGUAGAUAUCGAGAGGAACACCGGUGGCGAAGGCGGCCAACUGGACGAAUACUGACGCUGAGACUCGAAAGCGUGGGGAGCAAACAGG